rnacentral:rRNA from 1 species
AACGAACGCUGGCGGCAUGCUUAACACAUGCAAGUCGAACGAGACCGUCGGGUCUACUUUCGCACGUGUGCGUACCGCGUUGGAACCUGCCCUUAGGUUCGGAAUAUCUCCCCGAAAGGGCUGCUAAUAAAGGCUGAUGUAUUCGGACUAAUGAUUUAUGGCCUUUGAAUGUGGCUGCGUUGGUUUAGCUCGUUGGUAUGGUAAAAGCUUACCAAGGCGACGCUCCAGAGCUGGUCUGUGAGGAUGAUCAGCCACACUGGGACUGAGACACGGCCCAGACUCGUACGGGAGGCAGCAGUGGGGAAUAUUGGAGAAUGGGCGAAAGCCUGAUCAAGCAAUGCCGCGUGAGUGAUGAAGGCCUUAGGGUUGUAAAGGUCUUUUACCCGGGAUGAUAAUGACGGUACCGGGAGAAUAAGCACCGGCUAACUCCGUG